rnacentral:rRNA from 1 species
UACGUAGGGGGCAAGCGUUGUCCGGAAUCAUUGGGCGUAAAGAGCGCGUAGGCGGCCCUGUAAGUCCGCUGUGAAAGUCAAGGGCUCAACCCUUGAAUGCCGGUGGAUACUGCAGGGCUAGAGUCCGGAAGAGGCGAGUGGAAUUCCUGGUGUAGCGGUGAAAUGCGCAGAUAUCAGGAGGAACACCGAUGGCGAAGGCAGCUCGCUGGGCAACAACUGACGCUGAGGAGCGAAAGCGUGGGGAGCGAACAGG